GAUGAACGCUGGCGGCAUGCCUAACACAUGCAAGUCGAACGGGGAGUGCUGUUUCCAGUGGCGAACGGGUGAGAAACGCGUAGGAACCUGCCCUCGGGUGGGGAACAAUAACUGAAAACGGUUGCUAAUACCCCGUAGGCUGAGGAGCAAAAGGAGAAUUACGCCCAAGGAGGGGCGCGCGUCUGAUUAGCUAGUUGGUGAGGUAUUAGCUUACCAAGGCGAUGACCAGUAGCUGCUCUGAGAGGAUGAUCAGCCACACUGGGAGUGAGACACGGCGCAGAGUCCUACGGGGGACAGCAGUGUGGAAUAUUCCGCAAUGUGCGAGAGACUGACGGAGCAAUGCCGCGUGUGAGUGAAGGACGUACGGGUCUUCAACUUCUUUUCUCCGAGAAAAAACAAUGACGGUAUCUGAGGAAUAAGCCUCGGCUAACUCUGUG
rnacentral:rRNA from 1 species